GAGGUUCUCCUCAAUAGUAAGUGCACUGGACAGCGGAUCCUGGUCUGUUCAGUCUCUGUCGAGAAACUGGCUGGAGAACAGGACCCGGUGUGUUGAAUUCCAUUCAGUUGGAUAAAAGACCAUUGAUCCUUGCUAUGGUAGCUGCUUACAAGGCAACCAUCGGACCAUGACGCAGUAUUUUUGUUUCCAUCUUAUAGACAAGAACUAAAACCUAAAAACUGAUCAGAAAAUGAGCAAACAAAGAUCUGAAAGGUGCUGUUUGGAGGUAUUUGGGGAUUUCUUAGUACUCUUUUUAAGUUGCACCAUCUGAGUCUAGAGUUUGACCCUGUAGAGAGUCUGAGCCAAGGCUAGGCUUCGACAUGCAGACAGCAGAGAGGCAGGAGGAGAGGCUGCAGCCAUGCCAAAAUGUAAAAUAUCUCCUUUUACAAUAUUGUG